GCAGUAGUUUGCUAUAAUCGGAGGUGCCUGGACACUGAUGGGACUGGAAGCCUGUCUAUGGAGAUCUAGAAGUUUGUCAACUUUCAAGAAGGUGAAGCUGAGUAAUGGACUUGAAGAUAUGUCCUCACCAGGAAGUUUAUGGGCUCCCCUCAUCAUGUCUGAAGGAUCUGGUGCGACACCAGAAACUGUGUCUGUGGAAGACAGAGCACCAACAGGACACUCUAAAAGUUACACUGGAAAGGACGGUGCCAGGCAGUCAGCUCGUUGGUGCAAGCCUCCCCGUGUGAGCGGACAGCGCCACUGUGAGAGGAUCCUCCAUAGGCCCCACCAGGGCCUCUUUAGACCAGAAGCAGUUGACAGUGUGAAGCAGACUCUGACCAGGAUCCAGCAGAGCAGGAAUAAUUAUACAGGGCUGGACUAUGGAAUCAAUGAGGGAAAUUUAAAUGUGCUCAGUGUUCUAUUUUCUUAUGGGCAUACGAAGAAGGCUUUUUCCUUUGUUAUCUAUUUCUAGUCUUCAAUUAGGGAAGCUAUACUUAUGCAAGCUGCAAUGAAACACUCUGAAAGGUACCUCAUUCCAACCAUUACUUUCAAAAUUCUAGAAAAGUAUCUUAUGGGGAAUCCUAGUGUAGAUUAUAAACUAACUAAUCCUCAGGGAAUGUGAGGAUGGUGGUGAUUCUUGUUCUGAACUUGGAUUUCAGAUGAGUAUCUUCAUAAUGGGUUAAGCUUAGACAAAUAUAUGGAAAGACAUUGACUUAUCCUAACAGCCAUAAAUCCAUAAAUAAUCAAGCCAUUUUUAUAGAUAACAUGAAAAAUAUUAAUUUUCCUGUCCACAAUCUACUUAGGGCAAUAAGCAGAUUCUAUUACAAUGACUUACUGAGAUCCUUCCUCUUUCAUGGCCAUGUAUUCGUUUUUAUAGGUUCAAUAAGAAUCAGGCCUUAUUCUUACCAGGAUAUAAUUAAAGAGAUUGUUAGUGCAACCAGAGCACAGUGUGUCAUAUAUAAGAAUAUGUUUCAUUUAAUCAUAUAUGACAAGACCACAUUUUAGGGAUGUAGUGGUUAGAGUUCAUAUGUGGAACAAAUGCCUGCUAAGCUGCCUUUACAGGAAGCUGGGCUGAUAACUGUUCUGUGGCUUACAGGGUCCCUCCCAGUUUUACAGGUGUUAAGGAAGGUCAUUUCCUGGCAGGCCAGAAACCUUGGCAGGAUUGAGGUACCUCAAGAAAAAGGAAAUCUGUCAUAAUUAGAAAUACUACUGGCAAAACUUGGUGGAGACGUUUUUUGGUUUUGGUUCUGUAGCCUUGGAACACAUGUGCUAAUAAGAGCAUUAAAAAAAUUAAAAAUAAAGUCUUUGGGAGGCGAAUGAAGAUUCCUUCUACAAUUUUCAGAUGGAAGGUUAUUCUCUGGUUUUAGUGGUUGCUCAGCAUCAUCUCUCAAGAUUUGUUGACAUUCAACAAGAAGGCUAUGUGUGUUUAUUAAUACCUUUUACUGCAACUAUGUAAAUGAAUCAAGCCAAACAGAUUAGAACACACAAUAUCAAGGUAGAAGUUAAGAGACUUCAUGAGGCCUGAAGGAUGAGAAGGAACCACCACAUAAGAGGCAGGGGAAAGAAUAUUCUUGUCAGAAAGAAUAGCUUGUGUAAAGACCCUCAUAUCAGAAAGAGCUUUAUAGUCCAUGGGGUCUUCUCAGAAUCCUUGGAGUAUAGAAAGUGAGCAGAAAGUAGAGAAAGUGAGAGUUGGUCAACAGAUGAAGGAGGUUAUUGCCACAUCAUGCAAGGGCUUACAGGCCUUGAUAGGUAACUGUGUGUUAUUCCAAGUGCAUUUGGAAUGCUCUGAACAUUUUUGAGCAUGAAGUGAGAUGAUUUGGUUAACAAUCACCUUGUUCCUGUCUGAAAACAGGUGAGAAGACACCAGCAUUGAGGAUGGAAGGCCAUGUUGCACUGCUGACAAGAGGUAACAAUGUCUUGGACCAGGGCUAGCAGCAAAGGAGAGAAACGAGUGCGCUUGAGCAUGUUUUGUAGGGAGAGCCAAGGAGGUUGGCAUUAGGGCAAUGGAAGAAUCAAGGAUGGUUUCUAGAUGUGUGGUGUGAUUAGAUAUGGGUGCCCCUAGCUGUAUUUGCCAAGGUAGUAUUUUCCCUUCCCCAAAGAAGUUUUGAGGUGAGGUGAGAGAGGGAAAGAAAUCAGUGAUUUUCGCAAAUAUUUGUGGAACACCAAUUGUGUGUCAAGCACUGUGGUAUUUAGGUGUUCACUAAAUAUUGGUUGAAAAAGAUUUGUUCGUCUCCCGUAGGGCUUUCCAGUGACCAGGAAAGAAGAUCAAGGAAAUAGUUCUGAGGACUUCAGAAAGUAGGUAUAAAAACAUUGAGUGGAAAGAAGAAGGAGCUUGGGAAACCUAAAGCAAACCAUUCUAAGGGCCUAUCCUUGGAGCCACAGAGGACUGAAGCCCUGCCUCUCUCUCCCUUCCCCAUGGCUCCUAAAGUCCAUUCCCAGCCACCUGUGCUUCCUGCAUGCCCUGCCCCCGCUGGUACCUGUUCAUUUUUAUCAUAGUGUCAAGUAGAAGCCCUCUUGGUGGAAACUCCCUUGGUAACACAAGUCUCCUUCAGCCUCCUAGUAUUCAUCUUCCAGAAUUGCCUUGUUGUAGAUGAUAGCUUCUAGACAUAUAUGGCUAUUUAAAUAUGCAUUUAAAUGAAUUACAUUACAUAAAAUCAAAAAUUUAGUUCCUCAGUCCCACUAACCAUAUUUCAAGUGUUCAAUGGUCAUGGGUGACUAGUGGCUACCAUAUUGGGAAGCACAGAAAAAGAACAUUUUUAUCACAAUUGUACACAACAGUGCUGGCCUAGACACUAUAGGCCUAAAGGAAGGCACCCCUGAGCUAUAAAUUUACUAAUUCUCCUUCUUAUGUAAAGAGUCCUUCCCUUCUCUCUUGCUUCUCCUUUCUGUAGGCUUGGGCUAUCACUUAGCAGUUGCAGGACCAUGGUAAGUCAUUUAAACCUUUUGAGCCUCAGUUUCCUUAUGUGCAAAAUGAUAAUGAAAUGUACCAUGGCUGCCAUGUGGAGGAAAAGAACUUAGAGCAGUGCCUAGCUACAGUUAUAGCUUAUUUCCUUUGCUAUGAUGCCCAGUCAUGCAUGGACAUAAUAAACCACCAUUCUAAAAAUAGCCACUUUCUUUCUGCACAAGCUCCUCUUUCACUCAUGAACAAAUUAAAUUUCUUUUGUUUAUACAAAAAGAAAUGGCUGUCACAAUCUGUUUGUAUUUUGGUAGGAAGAUUUCUGAAUAGCUUAGCAUGUCUUGGGACCAAACUAAAGAGGGUGGAGGGAAGGGCCCUACCCUGAGAGUUUGGAAGAGGGCAAGAACUAGCCUGAGCACGUGGCAGGGUGAAACCUGGACAAGGUGAGAGGUCAUUAACCUAUCAAUGGGAAACUCACAAAGGAUAUAUUUACAGAUAAAUGGCUGAACAGUUGUUUACAGAAAUACAUGGAGUUUUCAUUCUCAUCAAGAAAAGAAAAUGAAAAAGAAUGAAG